rnacentral:rRNA from 1 species
CGGUUAAGUCCGCUAACGAGCGCAACCCUCACUGUGUGUUAGUAUGUGUCACACGGGACUGCCGGUUUUAAGCCGGAGGAAGGUGGGGAUGACGUCAAGUCAGCAUGGCCUUUAUAUCCUGGGCUACACACACGCUACAAUGGUCGGUACAAUAGGUUGCCAAGCCGCGAGGCGGAGCCAAUCCACAAAGCCGGCCUCAGUUCAGAUUGUAGGCUGCAACUCGCCUGCAUGAAGAUGGAGUUGCUAGUAACCGCAGGUCAGCAAUACUGCGGUGAAUACGUUCCCGGGUCCUU